rnacentral:pre_miRNA from 1 species
CAUAUACUCCCUCCGUUCCGAAUUACUUGUCUUGGAUUUGUCUAGAUACGGAUGUAUCUAGACUUAUUUUAGUGCUAGAUACCUCCGUAUCUAGACAAAUCUAAGACAAGUAAUUCGGAACGGAGGGAGUAUAUA